rnacentral:rRNA from 1 species
GUGUCAGCCGCCGCGGUAAAACGUAGGUGGCGAGCGUUGUCCGGAAUUACUGGGUGUAAAGGGCGUGUAGGCGGAAGCGCAAGUCAGGUGUGAAAUACCACGGCUCAACCGAGGGGGUGCAUCUGAAACUGCGAUUCUUGAGUGCUGGAGAGGGGAGCGGAAUUCCCAGUGUAGCGGUGAAAUGCGUAGAUAUUGGGAGGAACACCAGUGGCGAAGGCGGCUCUCUGGACAGCAACUGACGCUGAGGCGCGAAAGCGUGGGGAGCAAACAGGAUUAGAUACCCUGGUAGUCCACGCCGUAAACGAUGGAUACUAGGUGUAGGGGGUUUAAUUACUCUCUGUGCCGGAGUUAACACAAUAAGUAUCCCACCUGGGGAGUACGGCCGCAAGGUUGAAACUUAAAUAAAUUGACGG